GACGAACGCUGGCGGCGUGCUUAACACAUGCAAGUCGAGCGGAAAGGCCCUUCGGGGUACUCGAGCGGCGAACGGGUGAGUAACACGUGAGUAAUCUGCCCUUCACUUUGGGAUAGCCCCGGGAAACCGGGAUUAAUACCGGAUAUGACUCAUCCCCGCAUGGGGUGUGGGUGGAAAGUUUUUCGGUGGGGGAUGUGCUCGCGGCCUAUCAGCUUGAUGGUGGGGUAAUGGCCUACCAUGGCUUCGACGGGUAGCCGGCCUGAGAGGGUGACCGGCCACACUGGGACUGAGACACGGCCCAGACUCCUACGGGAGGCAGCAGUGGGGAAUAUUGGACAAUGGGCGGAAGCCUGAUCCAGCAACGCCGCGUGAGGGAUGACGGCCUUCGGGUUGUAAACCUCUUUCAGUACCGACGAAGCGAAAGUGACGGUAGGUACAGAAGAAGCACCGGCCAACUACGUGCCAGCAGCCGCCGUAAUAC
rnacentral:rRNA from 1 species